CAAGUCCCAUCAUGCGCAUUUUGGGUGAUGGCCGUGAUACAGAACGCUGGAAUUCACUUCCACCGAUUUACAAAACAGAAACAUUUGUCGAUGUAAAACCUGAAUCCGAAAUUCUUUCCACGAUUCGUAUCGGCACCGCGCCCGUUGAAGAGCCAUUGAUCAUGACACGCACAUUUGCAGGUAAACGCUCUUUGGCUGUGUUGGGUUAUGGUUUAUAUCGCUGGAAAUUAUUGGGAAUGGCGCCCGAUAUUGCUCGCGGAGCCAAUGAUAUGCCUGAUAUAUUGUCUGCAUUCAUCGAUCAAAGUAUUCAAUGGAUUGGUGCAUCAGAAAAAGAACAAUUGGUGAAGAUUCGAUCCUCAAGAAAAUUUUAUAUCGGUGGCGAAAAGGUUGAAUUGAUUGGACAAGUGUAUAAUUCUUCUCUUGAUCCUGUGGAUGAUGCAAUCGUUUCAGUCACACUUACCGGACCAAAUACCAAACGUGAUAUUCGACUUGCAAAUAUGGGUGCAGGAAGAUAUUCUACAGUCAUUUCAGGAUUGCCUGCCGGUGAUUAUUUUUAUCAAGGUUCGGCAGUAAAAGGCUCAGUCCUAGGCAAAGAUGAUGGUCGUUUUGUGGUCGGAACAGAAUCAGCUGAAUACUUGAAUUUGAAAAUGAAUGCCCCUUUACUGAGAUCUAUGUCUGAGAUCACGAGUGGAAGAUUUUAUACCCCAAAUACAGUCUCUGCUUUUCUGGAUGAUUUGAAAAAACAUCCACGAUUUACACAAACUUCUAUCGUGAAAGAAUCUGAACUUGCUUUGUGGAAUAAUCUCUGGCUAUUAUUAAUAGCCAUCACCGCUUUUGCAUGUGAAUGGUUUUUCAGAAAGAGAAGCGGUUUGAUUUAAUGUGUUAAAAUCCAGGUUUUGAUUUCAUCAAGCACAUCAUCCGUAGGCCAAUGUCCGCCGUCAAAAGAAAGAAAUUGAAAUGGUAUGUCAUGCUCUUUGACAUUCCCUGCAAAUGUCUCUGCAAUUGAAUAGGGGACAGUUUGAUCUUGUCUGCCACGCAGAAUGAGCAUAUCUCUGUUUAACUUCUUCACUGCUUGUAAUCCUUCCACAACUUUCCCUGAUGGGUAUUGACUUCCACACAUGGCGACCGUACCGCAAACCGACACAGGUAGACGGGUUGAAUAUACUCAGGCGCGCGAGUGAGCCGUGGUUAAGGAACUCGGCAAAUUAACCCCGUAACUUCGGGAGAAGGGGUGCUCCGUUAAUCGGAGCCGCAGAGAAAUGGCCCAAGCGACUGUUUAACAAAAACACAUCACUCUGCCAAGACGUUAAGUCGAUGUAUAGGGUGUGACACCUGCCCGGUGCCGGAAGGUUAAGAGGAGAGGUUAUCGCAAGAGACGCUUCGAAUCGAAGCCCCGGUAAACGGCGGCCGUAACUAUAACGGUCCUAAGGUAGCGAAAUUCCUUGUCGGGUAAGUUCCGACCUGCACGAAUGGUGUAACGAUUUGGGCACUGUCUCAACCACGGGCUCGGCGAAAUUGUGGUACCGGUGAAGACGCCGGUUACCCGCAUAUGGACGGAAAGACCCUAUGCACCUUUACUGUAGCUUAUUAUUGGGUUUGGAUGCAUCAUGCGUAGGAUAGGUGGGAGACUAUGAAGCGGGGCUUUCGGGCUUCGUGGAGUCACCGGUGAAAUACCACCCUUGAUGCAUUCGGAUUCUAACCCGGCGGAGUGUAUCCGCGGGGACAGUGAUAGGUAGGCAGUUUGACUGGGGCGGUCGCCUCCUAAAUUGUAACGGAGGCUCACCAAGGUUCCCUCAGCACGGUUGGUAAUCGUGCGUUGAGUGCAAAAGCAGAAGGGAGCUUGACUGUGAGACUGACAAGUCGAACAGGGACGAAAGUCGGUUUUAGUGAUCCGGCGGCACUGCAUGGAAAGGCCGUCGCUCAAAGGAUAAAAGGUACGCUAGGGAUAACAGGCUGAUCUUCCCCAAGAGUCCACAUCGACGGGAAGGUUUGGCACCUCGAUGUCGGCUCAUCGCAUCCUGGGGCUGGAGGAGGUCCCAAGGGUUUCCCAGUCACGAUACGAGCCAUUUAAAGAGGUACGUGAGCUGGGUUCAAAACGUCGUGAGACAGUUUGGUCCCUAUCUGCCGUGGGCGUUGGAUAUUUGACGGGGGCUGCUCCUAGUACGAGAGGACCGGAGUGGACGCACCUC
rnacentral:rRNA from 1 species